rnacentral:tRNA from 1 species
GCAGACGUAGCUCAACCAAAAGAGCGGCGCUUUGGUGAUGCCAUUGCGAUGAAGCGGGUGCAAGCCCCGCCGUCUGCACCA